rnacentral:rRNA from 1 species
AUUGAACGCUGGCGGCAGGCCUAACACAUGCAAGUCGAACGAGUGGCGGACGGGUGAGUAAUGUCUGGGAAACUGCCCGAUGGAGGGGGAUAACUACUGGAAACGGUCUCUAAUACCGCAUACCAUCGGAUGUGCCCAGAUGGGAGUAGCUAGUAUGUGGGGUAAUGGCUCACCUAGGCGACGAUCCCUAGCUGGUCUGAGAGGAUGACCAGCAACACUGGAACUGAGACAAGGUCCAGACGCCUACGGGAGGCAGCAGUGGGGAAUAUUGCACAAUGGGCGCAAGCCUGAUGCAGCCAGGCCGCGUGUAUGAAGAAGGCCUUCGGGUUGGAAAGUACUUUCAGCGAGGAGGCGUUACUCGCAGAAGAAGCACCGGCUAACUCCGUGCCAGCAGCCGCGGUAAUUC